GUAGCGGGAUCGAUGCCCGCAUCCUCCACU
rnacentral:piRNA from 1 species